ACAUCCUUUCCCUAAUGAGGAGAGAGGAUUCCAGAGGAGGAUCUCAUCCCCGCCCGAGCUUCUUCUGCCACCUCGACACCACACGACCCCGCUGCCAUCAGAGACACUGAUGAGCCGCCGCCGUCUCCCAAGUCGCCUGCCGACCUCCGCCUCCUCUCCUUAUUCUCCCAUCUCUCUUCUCUCGUAUCUGACCUUUCUCCCCGGUGCAGCUUCCACCUCCCUGCAGAUCCACACUUUGUCGGGCGGAGGGAGCGGGGCAGAGCCUCCAGCAUCGCUGGGAGCAAUGGCCCAUGCCCGGCGGCACUGAGGUGGCACAUCACAAUAUGAAGCACCGCUCCCGAUCCAUAGGGAUUUGGUUGACGCGUUUGAUUUUCGUCUAUGGCUUCGGUCAGGAGACUUGGGUCAAAGGCAAGCCCACGGAAGUCAGCUCCAAUCCAGUCUUCUAAGCAGGGCUGUGGGAACUGAGGCCUGCUCAAGGUGCUAUCAGUUUUUUUUCUCUGACCAUGAUAUGGACAAUGGUGCAGCACACAAAUCAAAUCAGCAUCACAUCUUAAACUGAGGUAUGUUUAUGAUCAGUCUGAAACUCGAAUCGAUAGGCUGAAUAUACACAAUGAAACACAGGUUUUAGUGAGAUUCUCAGAUUCACACAGGAAAGUUGCUUGGAACUUUAACUGAAAAAAAUCAUGUUAUUAUUUAGACCCCUUUGUAGUGGAGCAUAUGUAUAAUGUGAGAAGUAGAUAUAGGAUAAACAUAUAGCUAGGAGUAUAAGGAUUUUUUGCACUUGUCAGAGUAAAUAUAUUUGAAUAGCUCUACUUCUAACUCAGCUAACCAAUCAACAUCAUAUAUUUAUUAGAACUGUCAUAAACUCUGAAGGUAUAUCCUGUAGUACUAAAAUUUUUUUGCCUUUAGGAAUUUAGUCUGCUGCUGUGAAGUUCAAAGCAAUUUUGUUCAUUCUCUGACUCCUGCAUUCUUUUCAAUUGUCGUGCAGAAAAAGGGGAUUUGAAAAUAAAGCUUCCAUGGCAUGCAGAAACAGAGCAUGUGGUUGGAUCAACAAUAGAACAACCUACGGGGAUCAGGGAGGAGAGCAGCAGCCUGCUGCUUCUUGGUUACUGCUCCCUCUGUUGAUCAGGGAGUACUACACAUCUAUACAGAGAACACAAAGAACAGAAGGCUGAUGCAGUGAUGCUUGCUGCUUUCAAGGGGAUACAUACCUCUGUUGUGGCAGCAGC